rnacentral:rRNA from 1 species
GACUACGGGAGGCAGCAGUGGGGAAUAUUGCACAAUGGGGGAAACCCUGAUGCAGCAACGGCGCGUGAGUGAGGAAGUAUUUCGGUAUGUAAAGCUCUAUCAGCAGGGAAUAGCAAAGAAGGUACCGGAAAAAGAAGCCCCGGCUAACUACGUGCCAACAGCCGCGGUAAUACGUAGGGGGCAAGUGUUAUCCGGAUUAACUGGGUGUAAAGGGAGCGUAGACGGAAAGGCAAGUCAGAAGUGAAAACCCAAGUCUCAACCCUUGGAAGGCUUUGUCAACUGUCAACCUCGAGUACGGGCGCUGUAAUAGACCUUCCUAGUGUCGCGGUGCAAUGCGUAGAUAUUAGGAGGAACACCACUGUCGCAUUCAUCUUACUUGACCGAAUCUGACGUUGAGGCUCGAAAGCUUGGGGAGCGAACAGGAUUAGAUACCCUUGUAGUC